rnacentral:lncRNA from 1 species
GUCUCUUCCAAGGAAACAUGAAAUUCCUCUAGGAACUAGAGCGCUCACACAUGGGAUUCUUUCCAGCUUCACGUCAGGCCAAUCUCUGCACUGUUGGCUCUUCUAUAAAGGCAGAGCUGCUACAGCAAGAUCCAAUGCCAUUAUCAAGAACCGCAUCAUUAGACCGUCUGGUGGCUAUAACUCCAAGAUAAACAGUUACUUCUGUCAGCCACAGCAUUCCACAAAGCUCAGCGAUCACAACUGUGCAGUUGAAGACACAGUUCAAGUGUACAGCCCACCAUGACUGAGAAGUAAACGGAAGCCACUGACAUUGAUAUGGCUCAGAAGAUAGCUGGAUUAUGGAGUGGUGUUGGGGGAAUAGAAAUCUUCUCAAUCCUGGAAGGCUAGCAUGG